rnacentral:rRNA from 1 species
UAGCUAGUUGGUGAGGUAAAGGCUUACCAAGGCGACGAUCUGUAGCGGGUCUGAGAGGAUGAUCCGCCACACUGGAACUGAGACACGGUCCAGACUCCUACGGGAGGCAGCAGUGGGGAAUUUUGGACAAUGGGGGCAACCCUGAUCCAGCCAUGCCGCGUGAGUGAAGAAGGCCUUCGGGUUGUAAAGCUCUUUCGGCCGGGAAGAAAUCGCAUGGGCCAAUACCCUGUGUGGAUGACGGUACCGGAAUAAGAAGCACUGGCUAACUACGUGCCAGCAGUCGCGGUAAUACGUAGGGUGCGAGCGUUAAUCGGAAUUACUGGGCGUAAAGCGUGCGCAGGCGGUUUUGUAAGACAGGCGUGAGAUCCCCGGGCUUAACCUGGGAACUGCGUUUGUGACUGCAAGGCUAGAGUACGGCAGAGGGGGGUGGGAUUCCACGUGUAGCAGUGAAAUGCGUAGAGAUGUGGAGGAACACCAAUGGCGAAGGCAGCCCCCUGGGUCGAUACUGACGCUCAUGCACGUAAGCGUGGGUAGCAAACAGGAUUAGAUACCUUGGUAGUCCACGCCCUAAACUAUGUCAACUAGGUGUUGGGUGGGUAAAACCAUUUAGUACCGUAGCUAACGCGUGAAGUUGACCGCCUGGGGAGUACGGCCGCAAGGUUAAAACUCAAAGGAAUUGACGGGGACCCGCACAAGCGGUGGAUGAUGUGGAUUAAUUCGAUGCAACGCGAAAAACCUUACCUACCCUUGACAUGCCAGGAACUUGCCAGAGAUGGCUUGGUGCCCGAAAGGGAGCCUGGACACAGGUGCUGCAUGGCUGUCGUCAGCUCGUGUCGUGAGAUGUUGGGUUAAGUCCCGCAACGAGCGCAACCCUUGUCGUUAAUUGCCAUCAUUUAGUUGGGCACUUUAACGAGACUGCCGGUGACAAACCGGAGGAAGGUGGGGAUGACGUCAAGUCCUCAUGGCCCUUAUGGGUAGGGCUUCACACGUCAUACAAUGGUCGGUACAAAGGGUUGCCAAGCCGCGAGGCGGAGCCAAUCCCAGAAAGCCGAUCGUAGUCCGGAUUGCAGGCUGCAACUCGCCUGCAUGAAGUCGGAAUCGCUAGUAAUCGUGGAUCAGCAUGUCACGGUGAAUACGUUCCCGGGUCUUGUACACACCGCCCGUCACACCAUGGGAGCGGGUUCCGCCAGAAGUAGGUAGCCUAACCGCAAGGGGGGCGCUUACCACGGCGGGGUUCGUGACUGGGGUGAAGUCGUAACAAGGUAGCCGUAGGGGAACCUGCGGCUG